AAAGAAUAUGAUAAACCACCUGACUGAUUCAUGUAGCCUCAUGAGAUUGUAAUUCUAGUCUAAAAUGUUAUGUUUUUUUGAUUAGGUGUGUUUAUCGAGGGAUUCAGGAAGACCUGUGAGGGCCCUAAUCCAAAUUAUAAGCUGAGUGAAAAUUGUGCCUCAAAGGUCAAGAGGGUGACGCAAUUUUUAAACUACAUGGCGAAGAAUGAGACCUACCAGUCCUCUCUCAUUUUCCUGACAGACCAUGACAAAAUAAGGAAGUAAGCAGAAUUAUUUUUUCUCUCUAGCCUCACAAGCAUUAACCAACAAUACAGUAUUUGAUUGUAUGAUUUGUGUGUGUGUGUGUGUGUGUGUGUGUGUGUGUGUGUGUUUUUAGAUGGGUUCAAUUCCUCCAGAAGAACAAGGCAAUCACCACAGUCAACCACUACACCUUGACUAUUGGUGCAUUUCUUAAAUAUUCUGAGGAGACCCCUCAGAAAUGUGACCAGUCUGGGGUGUACCUGAUCAAUGUAAGUCUAUGAAAUACAGCUGGCUGUGUUUAUUUGUUUGUUUGCUUGGUUGGUUAUCUUUGGAAACAAUUGCAGUCGCAGGAGCGUAAUGUGUUUUUUUGUGUUUUUUCUCUGUUCAAUUUCUAUUAGGUGGGGGAACACAAAACAAAUCGGGAGUACGGCAUGGUCCAGAUGUCGCUGACAAAGGAGGAGUACAGCUGGUUUUCCGACUUCCUCAAAUUCAAGCACUGUCUCUUAGGGGGAAAGAAGGCCCAGCACUUCUUUUUCAAUUCAACAAACACUCAGAUGAAGAACCUGCCUGCCUACCUGAGGGAGGUGUGGAAGGAGAUGGGUCUGCCCGAAUGUCCUUCAUUCACUGACCUGAGGACCUCCAUUGUCACUCAUGUAAAAAACAUGCUCCCAAAGGUUGACAGGGAAAGGGUGGCCAACUUCAUGUGCCACAACAUCCAGACGGCAGACAAAUAUUAUGCCAUGAAUUUAAAUCCAACCCAAGCAAAUGAAACCAGGGCACUCUUUGAGGCUGCACUGAAGGGGGAAGAUAACACAGUCGCCGCAGAGAACCAGCCCUCCACCUCAGGAGAAAGAAAGCAGAAGGUGAGAGAGGAUGCCUCCCUCUCCGACGGGAGCACCACCCCUGAAGAGACCAAGGUGAUGUACCAGGAGUCUGGCACGUCCGCCGGUGACUCGGAAGAGGAGGAAGAGGAUGAAGAUGAGGAACAGAUGGCCAGACAACUUCCAGUAAGAUCAGCUAUUCUGACAGGACACAUUUGAUUAUCAAAAUGUACUUGUAAACUAUGUAACAGUCAAGUGUGAAUUCUGAGAUAUAUCUAAUUUCUUGUGUUUGCUCUGUCAGGAGACACCUUCCAAGGUGACCAAUCCUCAGGUGGAGAUGGAACUUACCCCAAAGAGGAAGCGGAGCAUCUGCACACGCCGCAUGGAGGUCGCCAUCAGCCCCAUGC
rnacentral:lncRNA from 1 species